rnacentral:tRNA from 1 species
UGAGCCCUAAAAAGCUCUUUAAA